rnacentral:rRNA from 1 species
UCUGUAGGCGGUGCGGCAAGUCGGAAGUGAAAUCUCAGGGCUCAACUCUGAGUCUGCUUUCGAAACUGCCGUGCUGGAGUGCGGGAGAGGUGAGUGGAAUUGCAGGUGUAGCGGUGAAAUGCGUAGAUAUCUGCAGGAACACCAGAGGCGAAGGCGGCUCACUGGACCGCAACUGACGCUGAGAGACGAAAGCUAGGGGAGCAAACAGGAUUAGAUACCCUGGUAGUCCUAGCCCUAAACCAUCAGGACUUGGCGUGGGUCCCGUUCGGGGCCCGUGUCGGAGCUAACGUGUGAAGUCCUGCGCCUGGGGAGUACGGCCGCAAGGCUGAA